GCAGCCGCCGCGGUAAAACGGAGGGAGCUAACGUUGUUCGGAAUUACUGGGCGUAAAGCGCACGUAGGCGGUUAUUCAAGUCAGAGGUGAAAGCCCGGGGCUCAACCCCGGAACUGCCUUUGAAACUAGAUGACUGGAAUCUUGGAGAGGUCAGUGGAAUUCCGAGUGUAGAGGUGAAAUUCGUAGAUAUUCGGAAGAACACCAGUGGCGAAGGCGACUGACUGGACAAGUAUUGACGCUGAGGUGCGAAAGCGUGGGGAGCAAACAGGAUUAGAUACCCGAGUAGUCCCUGUCUCUUAUAA
rnacentral:rRNA from 1 species